rnacentral:rRNA from 1 species
CCUACGGGAGGCAGCAGUGAGGAAUAUUGGUCAAUGGACGAGAGUCUGAACCAGCCAAGUAGCGUGAAGGAUGACUGCCCUAUGGGUUGUAAACUUCUUUUAUAAAGGAAUAAAACGAGGCACGUGUGCCUUUUUGCUUGUACUUUAUGAAUAAGGAUCGGCUAACUCCGUGCCAGCAGCCGCGGUAAUACGGAGGAUCCGAGCGUUAUCCGGAUUUGUUGGGUUUAAAGGGAGCGUAGAUGGGUUGUUAAGUCAGUGGUGAAAGUUUGCUGCUCAACCGUAAAAUUGCAAUUGAUACUGGCAGUCUUGAGUACAGGUGAGGUAGGCGGAAUUCGUGGUGUAGCGGUGAAAUGCUUAGAUAUCACGAAGAACCCCGAUUGCGAAGGCAGCUUACUAGACUGUGACUGACAUUGAUGCUCGAAAGUGUGGGUAUCAAACAGGAUUAGAUACCCGAGUAGUC